CUUCUUUCUCCCUCAUCUUACUCGCCAGUUCUGGCGGUAAGAACCAGAAGCUCUUCUCAGCUUCGUUUCUUGGAUUUUUGUCUCUUAAUCUAUGCAUGCAAAGUCUGAUUAUCAUUCACUACAUAUAGGAGCAUAUUGGGAAGCAAAAAUAUCACCAUUUCGUGGCCAAGAAGUUCAAGAAAAAGAACCAUCUUCUUCAACCAGAAAAACAGUAGGUGUUUAAGGAUUCCAAAGAAGUAAAAAUCUCAUCAAAAAGAACAAGGAGAAGUCGAGUUACACCAUUUACAAGUUAAGACUCUUGUGCAGGGAAUAGCAAGCUAAGGUAGUCUGAUGGAAGAGCUAUAAUGAAGUCAUGUCUCGACUAUGAUAGUGGAUGCAAGCUUGAACAUGAUCAUAUUUUGCGACUUACUUCUGUUAUAUGAAUAUUGUUUAAAUUUAUGUUAAAAUCUUAUUUUGGGCCUGUAAUAAUUAACCUAAUUUCAUGUGUGAUGAAUGUUUUAUUUUAAGAUUAGCUCGUAGAGUCAAUUCAGCCA